rnacentral:rRNA from 1 species
GAUGAACGCUAGCGAUAGGCCUAACACAUGCAAGUCGAGGGGCAUCACAUGAAGUAGCAAUACGGAUGGUGGCGACCGGCGCACGGGUGAGUAACACGUAUGCAACCUGCCUUCAACAAGGGGAUAACCCGUUGAAAGACGGACUAAUACCCUAUAACACAGGGGUCCCGCAUGGGAAUAUUUGUUAAAGGACAACCGGUUGAAGAUGGGCAUGCGUUCCAUUAGCUAGUUGGCGGGGUAACGGCCCACCAAGGCAACGAUGGAUAGGGGAACUGAGAGGUUUAUCCCCCACACUGGUACUGAGACACGGACCAGACUCCUACGGGAGGCAGCAGUGAGGAAUAUUGGUCAAUGGACGCAAGUCUGAACCAGCCACGUCGCGUGAAGGAAGACGGCCCUACGGGUUGUAAACUUCUUUUAUACGGGAAUAAAGUGCCCCACGCGUGGGGUUUUGCAUGUACCGUAUGAAUAAGGAUCGGCUAACUCCGUGCCAGCAGCCGCGGUAAGUACUGACUCA